AUUGAACGCUGGCGGCAUGCCUUACACAUGCAAGUCGAACGGCAGCACGGGGGCAACCCUGGUGGCGAGUGGCGAACGGGUGAGUAAUGCAUCGGAACGUGUCCUCUUGUGGGGGAUAACCAGUCGAAAGAUUGGCUAAUACCGCAUGAGAUCGCAAGAUGAAAGCGGGGGACCGCAAGGCCUCGCGCGAGAGGAGCGGCCGAUGCCGGAUUAGCUAGUUGGUGGGGUAAGAGCCUACCAAGGCGACAAUCCGUAGCUGGUCUGAGAGGACGACCAGCCACACUGGGACUGAGACACGGCCCAGACUCCUACGGGAGGCAGCAGUGGGGAAUUUUGGACAAUGGGCGCAAGCCUGAUCCAGCCAUGCCGCGUGUGUGAAGAAGGCCUUCGGGUUGUAAAGCACUUUCGGACGGAACGAAAUCGCGCGGACGAACAUUCCGCGUGGAUGACGGUACCGUAAGAAGAAGCACCGGCUAACUACGUGCCAGCCGCCGCAGUAACAC
rnacentral:rRNA from 1 species